CGUAAGGCGCCGAACGAGUCAAGAAAAAUUAACAUCGUCCGAUCCCUAGUCGGCAUAGUUUAUGGUUAAGACUACGACGGUAUCUGAUCGUCUUCGAUCCCCUAACUUUCGUUCUUGAUUAAUGAAAACAUCCUUGGCAAAUGCUUUCGCAGAAGUUAGUCUUCAAUAAAUCCAAGAAUUUCACCUCUGACAAUUGAAUACUAAUGCCCCCAACUAUCCCUAUUAAUCAUUACGGUGAUUCAGAAACCAACAAAACAGGACCACCGUCCUAUUUUAUUAUUCCAUGCUAAUGUAUUCAGACAUAAGCCUGCUUUGAACACUCUAAUUUUUUCAAGGUAAAGGUCCUGGUUUCCCACCAC
rnacentral:misc_RNA from 1 species